UCUACAAAUAGACGCACACAACACCGCCAAACUAACACAGAUGGUGGCUACAGAGAGGAAAACUGCCGUCUCCACAUUACAUAAUAUCAUUUUUAAUACUUUGCAUUGAGCUUGUUUAUAAAAUACAAGUGGCAGCCGAAGUUCGUCAUUCCCCUCCACUUCGCUCUCAACUGAACACGCCCGAGUGCCGUCCGUCCCCUGAUGCCCGUCGCGGCCCCAUCCCUCGCGGGCAGGGAGCCGGGAGCCUCGGUGACACACGUUUUCCCACAUACGUGAAAGGCGGCCGGCACAAUAGAAACGUGUCUCCUCCCACAAUAGCCUCUGCCGGAUUCCCAGGCCGCUUGACCGAAGCCGCCAUCUGCGCGGCGCCCGAUCGUCCGCUCGUGGGAAACACGCGACGGCCUGGAGACGCGCACACGCAGGCACGCGCGCACACAGGGUCGAGUACCUAUGUUACCAUGGCAACAGCGUGGGAACAAGAUGGGAAGAUUGCUGGAAGAUAUGAGAGAAGGAAGAUUAUAAUGACGGAUGAAAGGAAAAAUGGACGGCAGAUACGCUGGGGAAAAAAAAUGCAAUCUGCGGAAAUGCAGCGGCGGUGUGGAGAAAGUGCGCACCCUGCCGGAGGAGCUGGUACUGCAGCGCCACUUGUCAUGACGCGUGUUUUUUUUCUUGACCUUGUUUUCAUAGAAUUCCCUUUUUAUUUUAGGACACAUUUUCCCCGCGUCCCUUGUGAAUGUUCAUUUCUCGCUUGUUAUAUUCCAUCAGGUUUUAUAGUGUAACCCCCCCAUGCACAAAGACACACGAAUGCACCUAAAAAUACAUUGGAAGAAAAAAAAAAAGCCGAGUAGCAUGUGUUGUUGUUGUUGUUUUUUUUUUUUUUUUAUGAUUGCUUUAAUGCGAAUGCCUUGGUUUGCAAGCAAUACAUUCAUUGUGACGGGAAGGCGCGCGCGCGCGUGCGUGUCGUCGUUCACCAAAACGCAUCGGACACAGAUCGUAAAACACGCAUGUGAAUCUCGAACAUGUUCAACAUGUAUGACAAUUGCUUCUUCAUAGAGGAAUUAAAAAAUCAAAUCAAAUACAAAUACGCCAUUCCAUUGUGUAAUAGCAAAUAUACAAGCGCUCC